AACACAGUUUAUUCAGUAUGACUGACUGCUAAUAUGGAUGUUUGUAUCGGCGGGGCCAGCGAUCCAACAUGGUUGGGCUUCUACUGAUGGAAUUAUAAACGAUAUUCUAGAAUUUCUUUAGAUGCUUUAACAUGUGUUGUAUUCUCGCAUGAGAAUUCAACUUUCUGGAUUAUUUUUCUUCUGCCUGCCAUCUGCUCGAUGAAAUGUGUCAGCUAUCUAACAAGGUUAGAACAGCUAACUCUUUUGGUCUUUAGAAUAGUUUGUAUCCAGCUCUGUGUACAUGCAAAAUAGUGUUGUGCUCAUUUUAUACAAUGCGGGUGAAAUUGAAUCACCUUUGGGUUCCAUCUAUUGCUAUGUAGAAUCGAAUGGAUCAACUUAGUUGAAUUGUUUUGUUCGUGGAUAUCAGUGAGACUCUCGUGCUCUGGAAGAUAAAGACAAGCUGGCUAGGUGCCUUCAUAUGGUCUGUGCUAGCUGCAAUGAUAUUCAGUGGUGCAUCUAUUUAAGAUAGAGAUGACCACUCUAAUUUGCCUAAGAGGUUGGAUUGCACUGUUGCAUUCUUUCUAAGGUCAAUUUGGAUAUUUGAUAAACAUGUUUUGUCUCUGCUUAUUUGAGAGUAAGAUCCCCUCUAACCCAGAGUAAGCUUUCCAUUUAGCAAUCAUCUUUCAUACCAUUUAAUACAUUUUUUUUUGCGGGGAACCAUUUAAUACAUGUUGCUUUGGGUUAGUUUGACCUUAAGAGUUCAGUGAACAACUAUUUAGCUACAUCAUAUUAUUAUUUUCAUGUCAAACUCAACUUAAUAUGAGAUUGGUUAUUUUUUGGUCGUUCUCUUUAUUACUUCAGGCUUUUGGUUACCCAGUGUGUCCUUCAAGUAACUAAGCCCUGACGUUUGCUAUGAUUAGUAUCAUUCUUGGUAUUACGUGGACUACUAUGGUAUGUAAUAGCAUUCAAAUUAGUCCCCUUGCUGUGGAAGAUGCGCAAGUGCAUAAAGGGACUACUAUGGUGUGCAAUAUCAUUCAAUUAGCCUCCUUGCUGUGGAAGAGGCUUAAGUGCUUAAAGGACAUUUAGGUUCGGCAUGGACGAGUGCUGAUCCAUUGGGAUCGAACCACGCCCACUCCAACCGCCAAGGGCAAAAUCUGGAUCCAGAGAACCUGCUUCAACUAGUUCGCCUUCUAUAACAACAGCUCUCGGCAGCAUGAAUUGUCGUACUCUCUUAAGCUAGUUGAAGGAUGCGAAAACAAUUUGUCUUGGGAGCUUCAACAUCCUUUUUAAACACAGAAAGCAGAAGGAUGGUUUCAACCCGCAAAAAAGAAGAAAGAUGGUUUCAACUCAUCCGAAUAAUAAAUUUUGUAAAAUACUUCAUUCGUCUCGAGAUAAGUGACGUGAAUUUAUAUAAGAAUCCAUACAAAUUCAAAUGACU